CAAAUUUAAAAAUUACAUUUUUGGUACAUUUCCUCCUCAAAUUCGUUCUAUUUCUCCUAACUUUCCCUCCAUUAUCCUCUAUCACCUCAAUCCAUUACCUCUGCAGUUACAUAUCUGUCUAAGUCUUAUUUUGUCGCUACAACUUUGCUUCAAUAGCGAAUUCUCAGGUAAAGAUAUUGGAAGAAAUAUCAAAGUAACUGACCUUGUUGGAUGAAAAUUUCUUGAGGAGCAUUGGAGUAGGAUGGUCUGCGGAGAGAAUUGCGUUGAAGGGUACAACGAGAGAGGGCCACACCUGCACAUCUGAAUUGCCUGUUGUUUGGAUUCCAAGUCUCAAUAAUGCCACCUUCUGACUCUAUACGGUUAUCAGGUUCAAGGGCAUUCAGCUGCUCUAGCUGGCAUUCAUUUUGUUGAGGCUGCUGCUUUUGAUGAGGCUGAUGCUCUCUGAUAGCAAAACAGCUACUUAAAAGUAGAAAAAGAGAGAGUGCAAGAAGCUUAGCCAUGAUUGGAUAGAAUGAAUAUAUGC